AUUGAACGCUGGCGGCAGGCCUAAGACAUGCAAGUCGAACGGUAACGACACUAGCUUGCUAGUGGUCGACGAGUGGCGGACGGGUGAGUAACGCGUAGGAAUCUACCUAGUAGUGGGGGAUAGCCAAGGGAAACUUUGGGUAAUACCGCAUACGAUCUAAGGAUGAAAGGGGGCCUCUCUUUGAAGCUCUCGCUAUUAGAUGAGCCUGCGUAAGAUUAGCUUGUUGGUGGGGUAAUGGCCUACCAAGGCAACGAUCAGUAGCUGGUCUGAGAGGAUGAUCAGCCACAUUGGGACUGAGACACGGCCCAGACUCCUACGGGAGGCAGCAGUGGGGAAUCUUGCACAAUGGAGGAAACUCUGAUGCAGCGACGCCGCGUGUGGGAUGAAGGCUUUCGGGUUGUAAACCACUGUCACAGGGGACGAAAAAUCUCAAUGCUAAUAUCAUUGGGACCUGACGGUACCCUGAGAGGAAGCCCCGGCUAACUCCG
rnacentral:rRNA from 1 species